UGAGUUGUAGCUUUGAGGCCUUUACAAGUGAUUGGGGGAAAUUUUGUACCCAUGAUCAAUGGGUGUCUUGAUUCUUACAGGACUGAGCUGGAAGACAAAUCCUCAAAUUUUUAGUGAUUACUCUUCCAGAGUCAAACACUGCUUGUGUCAGAGUAUAAAACCACUCAGUAAAAUCCAGCAGACCAGCACACGUGCUCUGGUGACAUCUGCCUCCAAGGGAAUGUGUCACACUUGUAGGGAAGAAAUACCAGAUUCAUGACAACAUCUUAACUGUGCCUAGCAUGGUACUACAGCCACAGCAGCUGACAGGCACGAGAGGACUUCAUGCUCUGAAGGGUGACAUGCUCUGGCAUUUUAAAGAAUAAAGUAAAGUAGAAUGAUGCUCCAACUGAAAAAAGAAGUGGGAAUGCAGGACUGCUAGAUCAUCUUGCAGUGUGAAUGAUGAGAUGAUCAGCCCAAAGUUCAGUAUGUCUUGCAGAGCAUUAAAUGUAAAGCUUUUAUGGAUUUGUUCCAAUACCACCUAAAAAUAGAGGAAAAAUCUCUCCAGGAUUUUAGAAGGCCUUGUUAUUCGAGGCUGUGAAUUUGCAUCUCUUUAUCACUGGCUGGAUUUGCACCCCUCUCCUGA